rnacentral:rRNA from 1 species
CCUACGGGUGACAGCAGUGAGGAAUAUUGGUCAAUGGACGCAAGUCUGAACCAGCCAUGCCGCGUGCAGGAAGACGGCUCUAUGAGUUGUAAACUGCUUUUGUACGAGGGUAAACGCAGAUACGCGUAUCUUUCUGAAAGUAUCGUACGAAUAAGGAUCGGCUAACUCCGUGCCAUCAGCCGCGGUAAUACGGAGGAUUCAAGCGUUAUCCGGAUGUAUUGGGUUUAAAGGGUGCGUAGGCGGUCGGAUAAGUUAGAGGUGAAAUCCCGAGGCUCAACUUCGGAAUUGCAUCUGAAACUGGUCAGCUAGAGAGUAGUUGAGGUAGGCGGAAUGUAUGGUGUAGCGGUGAAAUGCUUAGAGAUAAUACAGAACACCAAUUGCGAAGGCAGCUUACCAAGCUACUUCUGACGUUGAGGCACGAAAGCGUGGGAAGCAAACAGGAUUAGAUACCCCUGUAGUC